GCUUUUGGCCUCUGGUGUGUUCCUGGAGUGGCUGCAAUAAAAACCCACUGGAUUUCUAGAAGAAGGUGCUUGCCGUCCUCCAUCAUCAGCAGAAGAAGCUAAGCCAGUACAAGCCUUGGUUUUGAUGUGGUGAAUUUCACAGCUUCUUAAGUGCCUUCCUCUUCUCCUUGAGACAUCUGUGUGUUUUCCAAAGAGUCAGAACAGACCUGACCAUCAUCAGUGUCAUUUACAAAAAAGAGGCCAAGAGAGCUGUCAUUCAAAAAAUGGGUGGAAGGAGAAGACAAGGACCGUCUCUUGAAUAAUUUGAUCUCCUCCUCUACUUGAGGAGAGGAAGCAGCAAUACCAAGUCCUGUCAAAUAGUCUUAAGAGCUGAAGAAGAUGGGUCAAAUUCCUCUUUUCCCAUUAAAACAAUUAUUUUGAAGCCUCAGAUACAAAGCCCAGGAGCGAAAACAACAGGCACUAUGUAAGCGUUGUGCUUAGGAUGCUCACCUGAAGAAGAAAACUUGGCUCUACAUAAUUCUACAUAAUUCUGUGUUAACUGUCUGCUGAUUGAAAAAUCGAACUAGUAUUAUUUAUUGACUUAAUAAUUCUGUGAUAUUUUCAAUAUUUUUUAUUCAACUUGUAUUUUCUACUGUAUUUCUGACCCUUCAGUUUUCUUCUAGUCUUUAAAGGAAUCUAAAAUCACUCACUGUAACUCUGUUCUUUGGAUUCAAGGACUUAUAUGAAAUGUAUAGCAUAAAAUUGAAUUAGUAGAUUAACUGAUUGUAAUAGAAGAUUUGUAAUUACACAGUCUGACCUUUGUAACACAGCCCAUAAAAUUUUGCAUUAAUUCCCACUGGAACUGGAGCACAUCUUUUGGAUAAACAUUCAGGCAGUCUCAAUUUUAAAAGCAGUCAGUGAUGAAGAUUUUACCAUAACUUUUCUUCUCAGGUAAAAAUUUACAUUUUACUUCUAAUAACUCUGUCAGUUUCAAGGUUAAUAAUGACAUUGUGAUACUCUAUACCUGUCAAUCUUUGCAUUUUUUCUUAUUAUCGUCAGUAAAUAAUGUAUUUGCAAGAAAUCUAUUUUGUGCAGAUAGACAAUAUGCUCUACAGGAAGACACUGAAUUCCAGCUUUUGCUCUGAUUCUCUCCCUGUGUCUCUCAAAAUGUCACUAGCUCGCAGCUUAUCACAUCAAUUACUUCAGGACUGGAACUUUCCAUGCUUAGGGCUCCAUUACACACACAGUCCUUGCCAAGCCCGUCAUGGAGAAUCGCUGUAAGCAAACAGGAGGAGCUAUUGCCUGCUGGCAGAAUGACACCAUCCUCCCCAAGGAUGGAGGCUGAGCCAUGGAGCUUUGACAUAGAGUGCCACAGGACGGGCACCUGCAGGCAUAAGUAAACUGGUUGCAUCUCUUCCAUGUCUGAGCUUAUAAACUUACACCUGGAAAACUGUAAUGUGAAUUGGCUCUCAGUCUUUCACUGCAGAAGAGCAAUGUUUGUUUCCAAAACAGAUUCAUAUGUUAUUUUGGUAGCAUAUGGCCUUAUUUUAUGAUGUAUGUUGGCAUUUCUUGGGAUGGAAAAUGCAAUUCAAACAUGACUGAUCAGGAAAAUUGUUCGUCAAAGAGAGAAACUAGCAGAAGAAAAAAAUUGGUGUAUUUAACUCAUUGUAUGAACUUGCUCAGUACUUACUGAAGAGCACAGUCCUUUUCUUAGUUUAGGUGGCCAGUGUCAAGCUCUCAGGUUUUCAGUUUUUGAUGUUCUUCCCUAAAACCUACCUUACAGGUUUUCUUCUUUACUUUUUUAGUGAGUUCUGGAAAGAAAAAAUAUAUUACUUACUUAUUUUCAGCUGUCUCUUUUUUUCUAUUACAUGUAGUGGAAGCAGAAGUGUCAAGUAAUGAUUACACCAAACUUUAGUAAGAAUCUCUGUGAGGACUUUUGUUACCAUUGGGAAUCUUUUAUGCUAAAAGAAAAAAAAAAAAAUGUUCAGUAAGUUAAGAAUCUACCUUUCUAAUACUAGCCCAGACUUUUGGCUGGUUGGGUAAUUGCUGGACUAUGUCUGUCCCUGGUAGAUAGACAUCUAUUUCAUAUGGAACAGUUAAAAUUGUGCUCCCUGGGACACAUCAAUCACCAGUCAUUUAUAUCUUAUCGUACAUCUUUCAGCAAGUCAUAUAACGGAAAAUUCCAUAGAACUGAUGAAAGCUAUGCCAAAAAAUCUGCUUUAAGUAAGUGCUUCAGUUGCCAGGAGUUUAUAUUCCUAAACUAUUCGUAAAAAGACAAUUAUAUUCCUUAGCAUUUAAUCAAAGAAGUUAUUAAUAUCUUUUAAUUUUGAAACUCAGUUUUAUCAAAAAUAUUUUUUUAGGUAUAUGCUAUUCAAUAUCAAAUGUGUCAAGCAAAUUCUGGUCAUGAUCAAUCGGUUCCAGAUAUUCUUGGAUCUGACAACGGAAUAUUUUUUUGAUGCAGAACUCUAUGAAUUGCUUAUUCCUUUAACCUAUAACAACAUCACCAAAAUGAAGAAAAAUUGCUUAGCUCUUUUCCUUCUGUUUUUGUAGAGAAAGCAGUCAGAUUAACAUGUUAGGGUUGAUGCCAGAAAUGUGCAGUUCAUAAAACCAAAUUUUUCCUCUUACCACAUACUCUUUGAUUCUCAGUAGUGUUAAAUUGUCUUUGUGUGCCUUUGGAAGUAUUGGGUUUAAUGUUUGCAAAGCCUCUGGAAACUCUGGACAUUUGUGAUCAAAAUGUUACUUGUUGUAUGUUUUCUAGAAAUUCUCUGCAGGUAUAUUCAGACUGUUUAAGUUGGUCCUGAGGUAUUAUCUGCCAUUCACUGUCUUGAUCCUGUUCCCCUCUGAGAGCCAUUAUGUCAGACCUUCAAAAGCCUUCAAAGUCUGCCUUACUGACUUAUCACCAGGAAUUUAAGUAAAAUUUAAGUACUGUGAAUGCUCACCAUGAAAAAAAUUGGUAUUCUAGUGUGGGCUUUGAAUUUAAAGUACAUCUGGUAUAUACACUUUUCUCUUUAUGUGCCCUAAGCCCCUGUAUUUUCUGUAUA